GGGUUGUGAGGUUAAGCGACUAAGCGUACACGGUGGAUGCCCUGGCAGUCAGAGGCGAUGAAGGACGUGCUAAUCUGCGAUAAGCGUCGGUAAGGUGAUAUGAACCGUUAUAACCGGCGAUUUCCGAAUGGGGAAACCCAGUGUGAUUCGUCACACUAUCAUUAACUGAAUCCAUAGGUUAAUGAGGCGAACCGGGGGAACUGAAACAUCUAAGUACCCCGAGGAAAAGAAAUCAACCGAGAUUCCCCCAGUAGCGGCGAGCGAACGGGGAGGAGCCCAGAGCCUGAAUCAGUGUGUGUGUUAGUGGAAGCGUCUGGAAAGGCGCGCGAUACAGGGUGACAGCCCCGUACACAAAAAUGCACAUGCUGUGAGCUCGAUGAGUAGGGCGGGACACGUGGUAUCCUGUCUGAAUAUGGGGGGACCAUCCUCCAAGGCUAAAUACUCCUGACUGACCGAUAGUGAACCAGUACCGUGAGGGAAAGGCGAAAAGAACCCCGGCGAGGGGAGUGAAAAAGAACCUGAAACCGUGUACGUACAAGCAGUGGGAGCACGCUUAGGCGUGUGACUGCGUACCUUUUGUAUAAUGGGUCAGCGACUUAUAUUCUGUAGCAAGGUUAACCGAAUAGGGGAGCCGAAGGGAAACCGAGUCUUAACUGGGCGUUAAGUUGCAGGGUAUAGACCCGAAACCCGGUGAUCUAGCCAUGGGCAGGUUGAAGGUUGGGUAACACUAACUGGAGGACCGAACCGACUAAUGUUGAAAAAUUAGCGGAUGACUUGUGGCUGGGGGUGAAAGGCCAAUCAAACCGGGAGAUAGCUGGUUCUCCCCGAAAGCUAUUUAGGUAGCGCCUCGUGAAUUCAUCUCCGGGGGUAGAGCACUGUUUCGGCAAGGGGGUCAUCCCGACUUACCAACCCGAUGCAAACUGCGAAUACCGGAGAAUGUUAUCACGGGAGACACACGGCGGGUGCUAACGUCCGUCGUGAAGAGGGAAACAACCCAGACCGCCAGCUAAGGUCCCAAAGUCAUGGUUAAGUGGGAAACGAUGUGGGAAGGCCCAGACAGCCAGGAUGUUGGCUUAGAAGCAGCCAUCAUUUAAAGAAAGCGUAAUAGCUCACUGGUCGAGUCGGCCUGCGCGGAAGAUGUAACGGGGCUAAACCAUGCACCGAAGCUGCGGCAGCGACGCUGAUGCGUUGUUGGGUAGGGGAGCGUUCUGUAAGCCUGUGAAGGUGUGCUGUGAGGCAUGCUGGAGGUAUCAGAAGUGCGAAUGCUGACAUAAGUAACGAUAAAGCGGGUGAAAAGCCCGCUCGCCGGAAGACCAAGGGUUCCUGUCCAACGUUAAUCGGGGCAGGGUGAGUCGACCCCUAAGGCGAGGCCGAAAGGCGUAGUCGAUGGGAAACAGGUUAAUAUUCCUGUACUUGGUGUUACUGCGAAGGGGGGACGGAGAAGGCUAUGUUGGCCGGGCGACGGUUGUCCCGGUUUAAGCGUGUAGGCUGGUUUUCCAGGCAAAUCCGGAAAACUAAGGCUGAGGCGUGAUGACGAGGCACUACGGUGCUGAAGCAACAAAUGCCCUGCUUCCAGGAAAAGCCUCUAAGCAUCAGGUAACAUCAAAUCGUACCCCAAACCGACACAGGUGGUCAGGUAGAGAAUACCAAGGCGCUUGAGAGAACUCGGGUGAAGGAACUAGGCAAAAUGGUGCCGUAACUUCGGGAGAAGGCACGCUGAUAUGUAGGUGAAGUCCCUCGCGGAUGGAGCUGAAAUCAGUCGAAGAUACCAGCUGGCUGCAACUGUUUAUUAAAAACACAGCACUGUGCAAACACGAAAGUGGACGUAUACGGUGUGACGCCUGCCCGGUGCCGGAAGGUUAAUUGAUGGGGUCAGCGCAAGCGAAGCUCUUGAUCGAAGCCCCGGUAAACGGCGGCCGUAACUAUAACGGUCCUAAGGUAGCGAAAUUCCUUGUCGGGUAAGUUCCGACCUGCACGAAUGGCGUAAUGAUGGCCAGGCUGUCUCCACCCGAGACUCAGUGAAAUUGAACUCGCUGUGAAGAUGCAGUGUACCCGCGGCAAGACGGAAAGACCCCGUGAACCUUUACUAUAGCUUGACACUGAACAUUGAGCCUUGAUGUGUAGGAUAGGUGGGAGGCUUUGAAGUGUGGACGCCAGUCUGCAUGGAGCCGACCUUGAAAUACCACCCUUUAAUGUUUGAUGUUCUAACGUUGACCCGUAAUCCGGGUUGCGGACAGUGUCUGGUGGGUAGUUUGACUGGGGCGGUCUCCUCCUAAAGAGUAACGGAGGAGCACGAAGGUUGGCUAAUCCUGGUCGGACAUCAGGAGGUUAGUGCAAUGGCAUAAGCCAGCUUGACUGCGAGCGUGACGGCGCGAGCAGGUGCGAAAGCAGGUCAUAGUGAUCCGGUGGUUCUGAAUGGAAGGGCCAUCGCUCAACGGAUAAAAGGUACUCCGGGGAUAACAGGCUGAUACCGCCCAAGAGUUCAUAUCGACGGCGGUGUUUGGCACCUCGAUGUCGGCUCAUCACAUCCUGGGGCUGAAGUAGGUCCCAAGGGUAUGGCUGUUCGCCAUUUAAAGUGGUACGCGAGCUGGGUUUAGAACGUCGUGAGACAGUUCGGUCCCUAUCUGCCGUGGGCGCUGGAGAACUGAGGGGGGCUGCUCCUAGUACGAGAGGACCGGAGUGGACGCAUCACUGGUGUUCGGGUUGUCAUGCCAAUGGCACUGCCCGGUAGCUAAAUGCGGAAGAGAUAAGUGCUGAAAGCAUCUAAGCACGAAACUUGCCCCGAGAUGAGUUCUCCCUGACUCCUUGAGAGUCCUGAAGGAACGUUGAAGACGACGACGUUGAUAGGCCGGGUGUGUAAGCGCAGCGAUGCGUUGAGCUAACCGGUACUAAUGAACCGUGAGGCUUAACCUUACAACGCCGAAGCUGUU
rnacentral:rRNA from 4 species